rnacentral:misc_RNA from 1 species
AACGCAUAUUGCGCUCGAGGCUUCGGCCAAGAGCAUGUCUGCCUCAGCGUCGCUUUCACCCCUCACACCCUCAUCUUCCUCUUUGGAUAGGAGUGCGUGUGGACCUGGCCUUCUCAGCCGUUUUCAUAUCGGCUGGGUCGGCUGAAGCGCAGAGGUUGAUGCAUGGACCCGCUUUCGGGCCUCAGCUGGGUAGUGCAACUCGUUUGCUCAAUGCUUUAGCUGUUGGCUUGGGACCGUGCUCGUCGACCCGAACCAGGAAAGCUUGGUUAGCAAGCUCUAAUCAAACCUUCGACUGAGCUCAGGCAAGAACACCCGCUGAACUUAA